UACGUAGGCAGCGAGCGUUGUUCGGAGUUACUGGGCGUAAAGGGUGUGUAGGCGGUUAUUUAAGUUUGGUGUGAAAUCUCCCGGCUCAACCGGGAGGGUGCGCCGAAUACUGAAUGACUUGGAGUUCGGGAGAGGGAUGCGGAAUUCCAGGUGUAGCGGUGAAAUGCGUAGAUAUCUGGAGGAACACCGGUGGCGAAGGCGGCAUCCUGGACCGACACUGACGCUGAGGAGCGAAAGCCAGGGGAGCAAACGGG
rnacentral:rRNA from 1 species